UGCUCACUGCGGGCCAGCUGCGGAGGUAAUACGGAUGGGUGUAGCGUUAGUCUGAAUUGCUGGGCGGAAAGGGUGCGUAGGGGGUUUGUUAAGUCUGCCGGGAAAUCCCCGGGCUCAACCUGGGAAUGGCGGUGGAUACUGGCAAGCUGGAGUGCGGUAGAGGGUAGCGGAAUUCCCGGUGUAGCAGUGAAAUGCGUAGAGAUCGGGAGGAACACCAGUGGCGAAGGCGGCUACCUGGACCAGCACUGACACUGAGGCACGAAAGCGUGGGGAGCAAACAGGAUUAGAUACCCGGGUAUUC
rnacentral:rRNA from 1 species